CAGUAGCCGCGGGAAUACGUAGGUGGCAAGCGUUGUCCGGAAUUAUUGGGCGUAAAGGGCUCGCAGGCGGUUUCUUAAGUCUGAUGUGAAAGCCCCCGGCUCAACCGGGGAGGGUCAUUGGAAACUGGGAAACUUGAGUGCAGAAGAGGAGAGUGGAAUUCCACGUGUAGCGGUGAAAUGCGUAGAGAUGUGGAGGAACACCAGUGGCGAAGGCGACUCCCUGGUCUGUAACUGACGCUGAGGAGCGAAAGCGUGGGGAGCGAACAGGAUUAGAUACCCCGGUAGUCCCUGUCUAUUAUAC
rnacentral:rRNA from 1 species